UCGCGCUCGUUCCCGCCCCGGCCUCGUGCCGCCCCCUCAGCCGCCGCCGUCCCGGCCCCAAAGCGGCGACACCGCCUUGUCACCGCGAAAAAAGGCGGGGAGCGCUGCCGAGCCCGGCUCUGACACCAGCUUUGAACACGCGAGGGCUCCCGGCGCUGCAACGGCCGCGAUACAUGGUUCAAUUAAGAAAGAAAACGAAGGAUGGAGCAGGACUGAAAGCACACAUCCAAGACCAGGCUUGAAGGAGAACUAUGGAAACAAUGUGCUGAAAGAAAAUUAUAGUGUAACUUCACUUGUCUACUGCAGUAUCAGACAUCAGUAUUCAGUUUUUAAGCCAAAUAGCUUGGGCUGGAAGAAAGGCUGUUGGUCAUCUGGAGACUGUACCACGUGUGUCCUCAUGCAGAGAAAAGGAGAGACUGAGCUGUUGCUCUGCACUGACCUGCAGGAGAUUAGGCUGGGCAUCUGUAUGCUGUCUAUGGCCCCUGGCACACAAGAAAUCAUCCAAACUGCAGCUUUCUCCUGGUGACCAGAGCACAUCAGACAGGACAUCCUCCCCAUCCCGUGUGAUAGAUUGUCCUUGGUCCCAGGUGAAGGGAGGGACCAAGGACCCUUCCAAGGGAAACAGCUACAUUCAAACUUGACUUUACCCAGAAAUGCUGAUGCACCAAAGUUGCAGGGUAUCAAGCCUCUAAGCUAUGAAUUCCUGCUUCGCUAUGCAGAGAUAACAAAUGGACACAGGAAGACUGGUUGCUGCAAGUGAAAAAAAAAAAAAGAAAAAAAGAAAUAAAAAAAAGAGUAUGGUGUGAGCCCUCAAAAUCUCAUCAGCAGGGCUGGAGGAACCUGCUGGGCUGCCAAGGCUGAACACUGCCACGUCUCCACGGGGCAGAUGGUUCAGGAGAAGACAGCCAGUGGUGCAGAAGACAGAUGGUGGCACAGGAGGAGCAUGCAGAGAAGCAGUGAGACAGGUAGGGGUGCAAGCUGCAGGGGGAAUAUGCCAUGAAGAGUGCCAGGAGGGAGGGUGGAGGUGUGUGGCCAAGCGCUGAUCAAUUUGAGCCAUCCAGGGAGUCAUGCCUGCCUUAGAGUAACUCAUUUUAAACUGCCAGAAGAAGAAAAAAAGCACAACUUAAGGUUUCUGCUAACAUGCACAUAUUUAACCAUGGUCUACUGUACUUACUCAGCUACCAUGAAAGCUUGAUAUUGCACAGCUUUAUACAGCACACAUUGUAAGGUUUAUCAGCAUUUAGAGUUCACUUUAGAUGAUACACUGAAAAAUCAAGAUUUAAAAGCCCUGUUCACUUUAACUUGUAGGAUAUGAAUAAACCAGGGUCAAUAAAUAUCACCCCAAAUUGUG